AUAAUUCCACAGAUUUUCUUUUCCAACUGAUGUGAUGUAACAAGAGGAGCAACAAAAGAAAAAUCCCAAGAUAAUCACGUAAUUAUGUUAGGAGAGAUUCUCAGUUUGAUCUAAUCCUGUCUAAACAGGCUGAAAGAAGUUAGUCACUCAGAAUUAUAUAAAAGGCUCCAUGGAGGAAGGAGGAGCCAAGAUGGCCGAAUAGGAACAGUUCGGGUCUACAGCUCCCAGCGUGAGUGACACAGAAGACGGGUGAUUUCUGCAUUUCCAUCUGAGGUACCGUGUUCACCUCACUAGGGAGUGCCAGACAGUGGGCGCAGGCUUGCAAUGAUAAACAACAGACCCUGGAGUUUGGGGACAACACCAAGGUACUGCCAUACUUGAGGAAAAGAUGGCUUUUCUCAGCUUGGAAACUGGCAAUCUCCUCUGUGAAGAAUUCUCAUCUCCCAGACCACCUCAUGACACAGUCUCUUGACUCCUUUGUUAAUCUUUGGUAAAAUGUCACUUUCCCAAUAAAGUUGUCCACAAUUU